rnacentral:sRNA from 1 species
GCUGGGCGAGGUGGUGCAUGCCUGUAAUCCCAGCAGCUUGGGAGGUUGAGGCAGGAGGAUCACGAGUUCAAAACCAGCCUCAGUAAAAAGGCGAGGUGCUAAGCAACUUAGAAAGACCCUGUCUCUA